ensembl:lncRNA
GUUGUCUACGUGGGAGAAGCUGAGACUGCCAUAUAUUGGCAAAAGGUUCAAAUCGAAUGCUGAUAAACCCUUAAUGGAUAGAGGAACGUCAGCUGUACUUAUACCAUAGUUUUGAUUAACUUGAGUGUGCUCCACCUGUGCUAAUUAGGCUAAGUAUCUGACGAGCUUCUCCCGAACCUUGUUAAUAAAUCAUCAUUAAAAUGCAAGGAGUCAAGCUUCUUAAAGUUUGUUCAGUUCUAGCUCUAAUAUUUGUCAUCUUUAGUUCAUUUGCACUUCAGAACUCAGCAGAAAUUUGCUCAGACACAGAGUUUGGCUCAAAAGGACUUGCUGAUAUUGACCUGUAUUCAUCCUUCAGGAUGAAUGUGUUUGAGGAAGGCAUCUGAGAGCUUACAAACAGGCCUCGGUGAUGGUGCUGCCUCUCUUUGAGCUGCGCCUCUCCAGAUCCAGACGAGCCCCAGCAGAUUCACAGCUUAUUGUGUGAGUCAAGGCUACGGCAUACAGCUCGUAUAAUAUUCAAGCUGAAGAUCCAGUGGGAGAUGCGCCAUUGAGACUUAAUGGCACAGAUUUGGACGAGCGCUUUCUUUCCUGUCACUUUGCGAAUGUGUUUUUGUGCGCUGCUGAUUGGAUUUGUGAAAUAGAAUAGUACAUCAAGAAAAAUAUUUUAGCUUUCAGUUACAAAAGAGCUCUGCUUAAAAGGUAGCAGAGCAGAUGUUACUGCCUAAGACUAUUGUGUCCCAUAAAUUUGUACAUUUUAGUAGAUGCCUUUUCUGCAUUCAAGGUUUGCUUUUUACCAGUUUGUGCAUUUCCUGAGAAUCGAACCUGUGACCUUGUAGUCACAGCUUCAUUGUUUGCAUCGGUUUUGUUGCAACAAAUUCAAUUAUCAUGUUUCAGGUGCCUUAAAAACCUUGUUUGUUUAUCACAUUUGUCAAAUAAACCUAAUUUCAGCAUUGUUUUCAGCAUAAAAACCCUGACAGUCCAGUGGGUCUCAACCGAUGAGUCUCAAACAAAAUUACUGAAUGGUCAAUACAAGAAAUUAAUGCAACAAAUUGUGCUGCAUGAGUACUGAAGUACAGCUCACAAAAUAUGUUGACUUAUAAACUUUGAAAUGUUAAGACAAAAUGCUCUCAGUAUCUUCAUUGUCACGUUAAAGUC